GAUGAACGCUGGCGGCGUGCCUAAUACAUGCAAGUCGAGCGAACAGACGAGGAGCUUGCUCCUCUGACGUUAGCGGCGGACGGGUGAGUAACACGUGGAUAACCUACCUAUAAGACUGGGAUAACUUCGGGAAACCGGAGCUAAUACCGGAUAAUAUAUUGAACCGCAUGGUUCAAUAGUGAAAGACGGUUUUGCUGUCACUUAUAGAUGGAUCCGCGCCGCAUUAGCUAGUUGGUAAGGUAACGGCUUACCAAGGCAACGAUGCGUAGCCGACCUGAGAGGGUGAUCGGCCACACAGGAACUGAGACACGGUCCAGACUCCUACGGGAGGCAGCAGUAGGGAAUCUUCCGCAAUGGGCGAAAGCCUGACAGAGCAACGCCGCGUGAGUGAUGAAGGUCUUCGGAUCGUAAAACUCUGUUAUUAGGGAAGAACAAAUGUGUAAGUAACUAUGCACGUCUUGACGGUACCUAAUCAGAAAGCCACGGCUAACUACGUG
rnacentral:rRNA from 1 species